rnacentral:hammerhead_ribozyme from 1 species
GUACUGCUGAAGAGUCGCAAACCAGGACGAUACGGACAGCCGUCCAGUAC